rnacentral:lncRNA from 1 species
GUCGGGGCGCCAACACCCCCAAGCGGAAAAUUGGCCGAAAAACGGGUGGCCUAUAGCCUUGGUGGGGGGCGUGGGCGAAGUUCGUCCGCCGGACUCGGAAUGGCCCCAGACUUUGUGGGCGGCCUCCGUGUGCCAAAAAUAGGCCACGGGCACAGCCGCGCCCAAAAAUGAGCGCCCGAAGGUCGGGGCGCCAGCACCCCCCAGCAGAAAAAUGGCCCAGAAACGGGUGGGCUAUAGCCUUGGCGGGGGGCGUGGGCGAAGUUCGUCCGCCGGACUCGGAAUGGCCCCAGACUUUGCGGGCGACCUCCGUGUGCCCAAAAUAGGCCACGGGCACAGCCGCGCCCAAAAAGGAGCGCCCGAAGGUCGGGGCGCCAACACCCCCCAGCGGAAAAAUGGCCAAAAAACGGGUGGGCUAUAGCCUAGGAGGGGGGCGUGGGCGAAUCUCGUCCGCCGGACUCGGAAUGGCCCCAGACUUUGCGGGCGGCCUCCGUGUACAAAAAAUAGGCCACGGGCACAGCCGCGCCCAAAAAUGAGCGCCCGAAGGUCGGGGCGCCAACACCCCCCAGCAGAAAAAUGGCCCAGAAACGGGUGGGCUAUAACCUUGGCGGGGGGCGUGGGCGAAGUUCGUCCGCCGGACUCGGAAUGGCCCCAGACUUUGCGGGCGGCCUCCGUGUGCCAAAAAUAGGCCACGGGCACUGCCGCGCCCAAAAAUGAGCGCCCGAAGGUCGGGGCGCCAACACCCCCCAGCGGAAAAAUGGCCUAGAAACGGGUGUGCUAUAGCCUUGGCGGGGGGCGUGGGCGAAGUUCGUCCGCCGGACUCGGAAUGGCCCCAGACUUUGCGGGCGGCCUCCAUGUGCCAAAAAUAGGCCACGGGCACAGCCGCGCCCAAAAAUGAGAGCCUGAAGGUCGGGGCGCCAACACCCCCCAGCGGAAAAUUGGCCGAAAUACGGGUGGCCUAUAGCCUUGCUGGGGGGCGUGGGCGAAGUUCGUCCGCCGGACUCGGAAAGGCCCCAGACUUUGCGGGCGGCCUCCGUGUGCCAAAAAUAGGCCACGGGCACAGCCGCGCCCAAAAAUGAGCGCCCGAAGGUCGGGGCGCCAACACCUCCCAGCGGAAAAUUGGCCGAAAAACGGGUGGCCUAUAGCCUUGGUGGGGGGCGUGGGCGAAGUUCGUCCGCCGGACUCGGAAUGGCCCCAGACUUUGCGGGCGGCCUCCGUGUGCCAAAAAUAGGCCAUGGGCACGGCCGCGCCCAAAAAUGAGCGCCCGAAGGUCGGGGCGCCAACACCCCCCAGCGGAAAAAUGGCCAAAAAACGGGUGGGCUAUAGCCUAGGAGGGGGGCGUGGGCGAAGUUCGUCCGCCGGACUCGGAAUGGCCCCAGACUUUGCGGGCGGCCUCCGUGUGCCAAAAACAGGCCACGGGCACAGCCGCGCCCAAAAAUGAGCGCCCGAAGGUCGGGGCGCCAACACCCCCCAGCGGAAAAAUGGCCAAAAAACGGGUGGGCUAUAGCCUAGGAGGGGGGCGUGGGCGAAUCUCGUCCGCCGGACUCGGAAUGGCCCCAGACUUUGCGGGCGGCCUCCGUGUACAAAAAAUAGGCCACGGGCACAGCCGCGCCCAAAAAUGAGCGCCCGAAGGUCGGGGCGCCAACACCCCCCAGCAUAAAAAUGGCCCAGAAACGGGUGUGCUAUAGCCUUGGCGGGGGGCGUGGGCGAAGUUCGUCCGCCGGACUCGGAAUGGCCCCAGACUUUGCGGGCGGCCUCCGUGUGCCAAAAAUAGGCCACGGGCACUGCCGCGCCCAAAAAUGAGCGCCCGAAGGUCGGGGCGCCAACACCCCCCAGCGGAAAAAUGGCCUAGAAACGGGUGUGCUAUAGCCUUGGCGGGGGGCGUGGGCGAAGUUCGUCCGCCGGACUCGGAAUGGCCCCAGACUUUGCGGGCGGCCUCCAUGUGCCAAAAAUAGGCCACGGGCACAGCCGCGCCGAAAAAUGAGAGCCUGAAGGUCGGGGCGCCAACACCCCCCAGCGGAAAAUUGGCCGAAAUACGGGUGGCCUAUAGCCUUGCUGGGGGGCGUGGGCGAAGUUCGUCCGCCGGACUCGGAAAGGCCCCAGACUUUGCGGGCGGCCUCCGUGUGCCAAAAAUAGGCCACGGGCACAGCCGCGCCCAAAAAUGAGCGCCCGAAGGUCGGGGCGCCAACACCUCCCAGCGGAAAAUUGGCCGAAAAACGGGUGGCCUAUAGCCUUGGUGGGGGGCGUGGGCGAAGUUCGUCCGCCGGACUCGGAAUGGCCCCAGACUUUGCGGGCGGCCUCCGUGCGCCAAAAAUAGGCCACGGGCACAGCCGCGCCCAAAAAUGAGCGCCCGAAGGUCGGGGCGCCAGCACCCCCCAGCGGAAAAAUGGCCCAGAAACGGGUGGGCUAUAGCCUUGGCGGGGGGCGUGGGCGAAGUUCGUCCGCCGGACUCGGAAUGGCCCCAGACUUUGCGGGCGACCUCCGUGUGCCCAAAAUAGGCCACGGGCACAGCCGCGCCCAAAAAUGAGCGCCCGAAGGUCGGGGCGCCAACAGUCGCCAGCGGAAAAAUGGCCAAAAAACGGGUGGGCUAUAGCCUUCGUGGGGGGCGUGGGCGAUGCUCGUCCGCCGGACUCGGAAUGGCCCCAAACUUUGCGGGCUGCCUCCGUGUGCCAAAAAUAGGCCACGGGCACAGCCGCGCCCAAAAAUGAGCAUCCAAAGGUCGCCAACACCCCCCAGCGGAAAAAUGGCCAAAAAACGUGUGGGCUAUAGCCUUGGUGGGGGGCGUGGGCGAAGUUCGUCCGCCGGACUCGGAAUGGCCCCAGACUUUGCGGGCGGCCUCCGUGCGCCAAAAAUAGGCCACGGGCACAGCCGCGCCAAAAAAUGAGCGCCCGAAGGUCGGGGCGCCAACACCCCCCAGCGGAAAAUUGGCCGAAAAACGGGUGGCCUAUAGCCUUGGUGGGGGGCGUGGGCGAAGUUCGUCCGCCGGACUCGGAAUGGCCCCAGACUUUGCGGGCGGCCUCCGUGUGCCAAAAAUAGGCCACGGGCACAGCCGCGCCCAAAAAUGAGUUCCCGAAGGUCGCGGCGCCAACACCCCCCAGCGGAAAAAUGGCCUUGGAACGGGUGUGCUAUAGCCUUGGUGGGGGGCGUGGGCGAAGUUCGUCCGCCGGACUCGGAAUGGCCCCAGACUUUGCGGGCGGCCUCCGUGUGCCAAAAAUAGGCCACGGGCACAGCCGCGCCCAAAAAUGGGCGCCCGAAGGUCGGGGCGCCAGCACCCCCAAGCGGAAAAAUGGCCAAAAAACGGGUGGGCUAUAGCCUUCGUGGGGGGCGUGGGCGAUGCUCGUCCGCCGGACUCGGAAUGGCCCCAGACUUUGCGGGCGGCCUCCUUGCGCCAAAAAUAGGCCACGGGCACAGCCGCGCCCAAAAAUGAGCGCCUGAAGGUCGGGGCGCCAACACCCCCCAGCGGAAAAUUGGCCGAAAAACGGGUGGCGUAUAGCCUUGGUGGGGGGCGUGGGCGAAGUUCGUCCGCCGGACUCGGAAUGGCCCCAGACUUUGCGGGUGACCUCCGUGUGCCAAAAAUAGGCCACGGGCACAGCCGCGCCCAAAAAUGAGCGCCCGAAGGUCGGGGCGCCAACACCCCCCAGCGGAAAAAUGGCCCAGAAACGGGUGUGCUAUAGCCUUGGCGGGGGGCGUGGGCGAAGUUCGUCCGCCGGACUCGGAAUGGCCCCAGACUUUGCGGGCGGCCUCCAUGUUCCAAAAAUAGGCCACGGGCACAGCCGCGCCGAAAAAUGAGCGCCUGAAGGUCGGGGCGCCCACACCCCCCAGCGGAAAAUUGGCCGAAAUACGGGUGGCCUAUAGCCUUGCUGGGGGGCGUGGGCGAAGUUCGUCCGCCGGACUCGGAAAGGCCCCAGACUUUGCGGGCGGCCUCCGUGUGCCAAAAAUAGGCCACAGGCACNNNNNNNNNNNNNNNNNNNNNNNNNNNNNNNNNNNNNNNNNNNNNNNNNNNNNNNNNNNNNNNNNNNNNNNNNNNNNNNNNNNNNNNNNNNNNNNNNNNNNNNNNNNNNNNNNNNNNNNNNNNNNNNNNNNNNNNNNNNNNNNNNNNNNNNNNNNNNNNNNNNNNNNNNNNNNNNNNNNNNNNNNNNNNNNNNNNNNNNNNNNNNNNNNNNNNNNNNNNNNNNNNNNNNNNNNNNNNNNNNNNCCCAGAAACAGGUGGGCUAUAGCUUGGCGGGGGGCGUGGGCGAAGUUUCGUCCGCUGGACUGGGAAUGCCCCAGACUUUGCGGGCGACCUCCUUGUGCCCAAAAUAGGCCACGGGCACAGCCGCGCCCAAAAAUGAGCGCCCGAAGGUCGGGGCGCCAACAGUCGCCAGCGGAAAAAAAGGCCAAAAAAACGGGUGGGCUAUAGCCUUCGUGGGGGGGCGUGGGCGAUGCUUGUCCGCCGGACUCGGAAUGGCCCCAAACUUUGCGGGCUGCCUCCGUGUGCCAAAAAUAGGCCACGGGCACAGCCGCGCCCAAAAAUGAGCAUCCGAAGGUCGCCAACACCCCCCAGCGGAAAAAUGGCCAAAAAACGUGUGGGCUAUAGCCUUGGUGGGGGGCGUGGGCGAAGUUCGUCCGCCGGACUCGGAAUGGCCCCAGACUUUGCGGGCGGCCUCCGUGCGCCAAAAAUAGGCCACGGGCACAGCCGCGCCAAAAAAUGAGCGCCCGAAGGUCGGGGCGCCAACACCCCCCAGCGGAAAAUUGGCCGAAAAACGGGUGGCCUAUAGCCUUGGUGGGGGGCGUGGGCGAAGUUCGUCCGCCGGACUCGGAAUGGCCCCAGACUUUGCGGGCGGCCUCCGUGUGCCAAAAAUAGGCCACGGGCACAGCCGCGCCCAAAAAUGAGUUCCCGAAGGUCGCGGCGCCAACACCCCCCAGCGGAAAAAUGGCCUUGAAACGGGUGUGCUAUAGCCUUGGUGGGGGGCGUGGGCGAAGUUCGUCCGCCGGACUCGGAAUGGCCCCAGACUUUGCGGGCGGCCUCCGUGUGCCAAAAAUAGGCCACGGGCACAGCCGCGCCCAAAAAUGGGCGCCCGAAGGUCGGGGCGCCAGCACCCCCAAGCGGAAAAAUGGCCAAAAAACGGGUGGGCUAUAGCCUUGGCGGGGGGCGUGGGCGAAGUUCGUCCGCCGGACUCGGAAUGGCCCCAGACUUUGCGGGCGGCCUCCGUGCGCCAAAAAUAGGCCACGGGCACAGCCGCGCCCAAAAAUGAGCGCCUGAAGGUCGGGGCGCCAACACCCCCCAGAGGAAAAUUGGCCGAAAAACGGGUGGCGUAUAGCCUUGGUGGGGGGCGUGGGCGAAGUUCGUCCGCCGGACUCGGAAUGGCCCCAGACUUUGCGGGCGACCUCCGUGUGCCAAAAAUAGGCCACGGGCACAGCCGCGCCCAAAAAUGAGCGCCCGAAGGUCGGGGCGCCAACACCCCCCAGCGGAAAAUGGCCAAAAAACGGGUGGGCUAUAGCCUUGGUGGGGGGCGUGGGCGAAGUUCGUCCGCCGGACUCGGAAUGGCCCCAGACUUUGCGGGCGGCCUCCAUUUGCCAAAAAUAGGCCACGGGCACAGCCGCGCCCAAAAA